rnacentral:rRNA from 1 species
AUGACGACUACCUAUGGAGUAAAGUUAAAGGUCCCGUGCUCCUGUUGUUCUUCAGGACUUUUUUUCUUUUGCUCAAACCAGCAUAAACUAUUCAGAGUUUUAACAGAGAAAAUUGGUCCUGUGCUUCCUCAUGAAAUACAAGAAAAGCUCAAUUGUUUAGAGGAAGAGUACUUCAGGAGCCACUCUUCAGCCAUUAAGUCAUAUAUCUCAGAGCUGGAUAUAGAUUUAACAGUGGGCAUGGUACCCCCCAGGGAUCCUUAUAUCCAGGUUUGGGUGCUGGAGGACUUUGGUGAAGUAUCUCUUGGUGACCAUUCCAUAUCAUUGACCAAAAUUUGCUCCACUUCCUUAGGCGCACAGAUGCAAAACAAUUUAUAUCACAUGUUUGCUAUCUGUUACGCUAUAUUUUCCCACUCUGAAAUCUUAAUAUUUCCAGUAAGAAUAAUAUUCUGUUUAAUUUUAAUAGGGUCUCAUGGAAGAAUUUCUGGAUUAGGGAUCACAUAUGAUGUAAAAUAG